rnacentral:rRNA from 1 species
GACGAACGCUGGCGGCGUGCUUAACACAUGCAAGUCGAACGGAAAGGCCCUGCUUUUGUGGGGUGCUCGAGUGGCGAACGGGUGAGUAACACGUGAGUAACCUGCCCUUGACUUUGGGAUAACUUCAGGAAACUGGGGCUAAUACCGGAUAGGAGCUCCUGCUGCAUGGUGGGGGUUGGAAAGUUUCGGCGGUUGGGGAUGGACUCGCGGCUUAUCAGCUUGUUGGUGGGGUAGUGGCUUACCAAGGCUUUGACGGGUAGCCGGCCUGAGAGGGUGACCGGCCACAUUGGGACUGAGAUACGGCCCAGACUCCUACGGGAGGCAGCAGUGGGGAAUAUUGCACAAUGGGCGGAAGCCUGAUGCAGCAACGCCGCGUGCGGGAUGACGGCCUUCGGGUUGUAAACCGCUUUCGCCUGUGACGAAGCGUGAGUGACGGUAAUGGGUAAAGAAGCACCGGCUAACUACGUGCCAGCCGCCGCCGUAACAC